GUGCUGAAUAAGAAAAUGAGAAAAUAAAUAGCCGGCGGUACCAGGUUCCUGUUCGGGGCUGACUCAAGAAUACCAGCUUCUCCUGUUGCAGCCCACAGGUGAUCAAGCCAGUGAGUAUCUCGACACCAUCACACAAUCCUGACUACAACCACCCCUCAGAGAUGCUCCUUCUUUCCAGUGGGAAGCUGCUCCAGCGAGGGAAUAUGUGGCUCCUUCUUCAGGGUGAACAAGGUCAAGUACACGGGGGUCAAGCUCAUCCAUUCUCGUGCAAACGGAAAGUUGUCAGGGCUGCAAUACUGCUGCUGUGUGGACCUGGAGCGCGCCGCCAUUUAGCUGUGUGUGAGCUGCUGUGUGCCGUUAGCAGUCUUCUCAAAACCAAGUUAUAAGAUACAAACAAUCCAGAGAGGCCUGUCGUCCGAAGAGAAGGUGGUGCUGGGGUGUUCUGAGGAUCGCAGAUAAAGUCUUUGGCAACAAGAUUAUCUUUUCCUCGUCAGCAGGAAAUCCAAUCUGUGAGCCCCAUCAACAGGAAAUUAAAAAGAGCAACAUAGUUUAGACAAAAGCCAACAGCCCCAAUCUACCCUGUUCCUCCCAGCAGAAGAUCGACCAGUGACAAGACCUGGCAAUGACUCAGGAUGUCCUCACUGUGAGACCUGUGUCCUCAGGCAGGUCCACUUUGUAGAUAAACAGCAGCCAGAACCACUGCACAGCGCACAUCCACAAAAGUUUCUGGAGAGUUCUACUUCUCCAUCCUCUCACCACGCCAGACAAGGCUCAUUUCAUCUGGAUCUAUGUUUUGAAAGGAAGUUUACCAUCGUCGACAAUCUGUCACAAGAAAAAUGAAUUCACUUCAAUCACCCAGAGACAGAGAGAACACAUGCAGUGGUUCCAAAACUAGGGCCUGCGACCCCCUGGGGGGUCGUCAGAGAAGUUCCAUAAUAUUUAAAGCAUUUAGAAAUAAAAGUUUUUGUCAUUUUAGUUUCAAGAGUUAAAUGUAGAAGUGACUAUGACAGAUUAUAACUAGCAGCAGUUGCAGGUCAUUUUGCAGAACCCCAGGAAGCAAGGAAUUGCAUUUUAUUUAGUUACAUUAAAUAUCCUUUUCAUGCUUCAACCAACUCCUGGGAUAGUGAGGGUCACGCGUCGCUUGCACCUUUAUUAUAACCUACUGCACACACAAUCCGGUUGUUCAGAUCCCUGUCAAU